GGCGAUGUAGCUCAGUUGGCUAGAGCAUUCGGUUCAUACCCGAAGGGUCGAGGGUUCGAAUCCCCCCGUCGCUA
rnacentral:tRNA from 1 species